UCCGGUUUGUCACCGGCAGUCUCCUUAGAGUGCCCUUGCGUAGCAACUAAGGACAAGGGUUGCGCUCGUUGCGGGACUUAACCCAACAUCUCACGACACGAGCUGACGACAGCCAUGCAGCACCUGUGUUCCAAUUCCCUUUCGGGCACAUCUGCCUUUCAGCAGACUCCUGGACAUGUCAAGGGUAGGUAAGGUUGUUCGCGUUGCAUCGAAUUAAUCCACAUCAUCCACCGCUUGUGCGGGUCCCCGUCAAUUCCUUUGAGUUUUAAUCUUGCGACCGUACUCCCCAGGCGGAAUGCUUAAUGCGUUAGCUGCGACACCGAAGAGUAUGCAUCGGUUACGGCGUGGACUAC
rnacentral:misc_RNA from 1 species